rnacentral:rRNA from 1 species
CUACGGGAGGCAGCAGUGAGGAAUAUUGGACAAUGGGCGAAAGCCUGAUCCAGCAAUGCCGCGUGAGUGAUGAAGGCCUUAGGGUUGUAAAGCUCUUUUACCCGGGAUGAUAAUGACAGUACCGGGAGAAUAAGCUCCGGCUAACUCCGUGCCAGCAGCCGCGGUAAUACGGAGGGAGCUAGCGUUGUUCGGAAUUACUGGGCGUAAAGCGUGCGUAGGCGGCGAUUCAAGUCAGAGGUGAAAGCCUGGAGCUCAACUCCAGAACUGCCUUUGAAACUAGAUUGCUAGAAUGUCGGAGAGGUGAGUGGAAUUCCGAGUGUAGAGGUGAAAUUCGUAGAUAUUCGGAAGAACACCAGUGGCGAAGGCGGCUCACUGGACGACUAUUGACGCUGAGGCACGAAAGCGUGGGGAGCAAACAGGAUUAGAUACCCGGGUAGUCCU